ACAUGCCUACAACAUAGCGUUAAUGCAUUAGAUCUCAUUAGAAAUCCGUAGUUAAGCGUGCUCAGGAUAGAGUAGUAUUGGGAUGGGUGACUUCCUGGGAAGUCCUAGUGUUUUACAUGCC
rnacentral:rRNA from 1 species